rnacentral:lncRNA from 1 species
CGACUGGACUCUGCUACUCAUGUCUGAAUAUGGCUAAAGGAGUGACUUGGCUUUUCUAGGCUCCAGUUCUUUAAAUACUAAAUAAGAGCAACAUAGUGGACAACUAGAUAUCCAACCACGUAACUUGGUGACUUGGAAGUUCUUGUGUCUAUGCUUCAUGGAUGGGAAUAGGAGCAAGAAGUUGUUCUUAGUGAUCUCCUUGAUCUACCAAGAAGAGGCCUAAUCUCUGACCUGGAAGAACAACCUCUGAUAAGUGGCUUUGUUCAACUGUUUGGAGUGUGACUCUUAUGUGCUAAGAGAAUCUGAAUGUAUUUUGCCAAAUCGAAUCAAACUUUUUAUACAGAAGACAAUAAGGAAGUUGGUUAGUGAAUCAAACUCUGGCAGUAGAAGAGAACAUAGUGUGCCCUACGACAGACACAGCAGGAAGGCCUGGGAUGAGUGGAGUGAUCAAACACCAAGGCAGGAAAGAGGCCACAAUGGAAAGACCCACUCUCUACAUGAGGGUCCAUCCAGGAGGAGAAGCCCAAACUCCAGAGUCUGCUGAGCAUUCUGCACAAGAGGCAGUUCAAGGAGACAAGAAAGAAGAAAUGGAUCUUUAAAAGUACCAUAGCCAGGGUUUCAUGAAGUAGGAAGAUUAUUUUGAAUAUCAAGAACAAUCACAGGAAAAAUAAUCAAUUGAGGGACAAGGGAUCUUCAUGAAAGAGGGGACUCCUGCACGUCUCAGUGUUCAAAGCUAGCAUCAUGGCAGAGGAACAUCGGCUUCUUCAUGGUGCUUCCAGCAGGUUGGCAAGAUAAUCGCUGGGUUACUUCCAUGUACAGAGAGGGAGGGAGCACCCCAAUGCACAAGCUCACUUCCAGGCUUUCUGUCAUGUGUGCCAAUGUUCCAUCAACGGAAGUAAAUGGCACGGCCAAGCUCGGAUAUGAUAGGGAGAGAAGUUAGAGCUCUUGUGAUGAAACUGAAGGGAGGAGGGGUUACAUGUGCACAUGUGCACAACAUUGCUUUCUGUUAUCACUCUUCAUCCUGCUUCAACCCUUGCAGGACGAGAGGGAUUAGGUGAGCCUCUGUGAAUAACUAUCUAGAUUAACUGAGUUGGGAACACCUAGCCUAAGGAGAAUGGCACCAUUUCCAAGGCUGGAUUGCUGGAUUGCUGGAUUGCUGGAUUGCUGGAUUGCUGGAUUGCUGGAUUGCUGGAUUGCUGAGUUGCUGAAUUGCACAAAAUGGAAGAAACCGACUGGAAGGGGAAACAGUUUGCCAGUUGUUCUUGAAAACUCUCAUCCAAAGAUACAUGCAGGUGAGACAUGCCUGUGAACAUCUGACCAAACACCAAAAGCUGAGAGUAAAUAUAGAAUUAAUACAAGACAGGCUUCCUUUUGUUUGUCUGUAUGUGUAUAUGUAUGUAUGUGGUUCAUGUAUGUGUUUGCAUGAGUGUAUAUGCAUGUGUGUGUGAUUGUGUAGGCCAGAGGUCAACAAUGGUUUGAAACUGCCAAAUUCCCCUUCACAGGGGUUGAAGCAUCUUGCAUUCUCAUUGUCAAAAUGUGAGCAUGUUUAUUGCCCGCCGUCUGGCCUGCUGAGCAUGAUGUCAGAGCUUUGGACUUUUGCCAACAAGAUAGAUAUCUACCUGGUAUCCUUGACUUUGUCUCUCAGUAUUCAAAGUCUGCAGUUUCUUUCUAUCUGGUUUGUAUGGAAUGCAUUAAUACACAACAAUGAUAAUUAUGGACCUCAGUGGAGCUAUUUCACAGAGACAGGAGAGUAGAGCCAAAGAAUUGAAUGGACUUGUGGUAUAGAUUCAGAAGAAUCUUAAAAAUUUUCCUCCUCCUCCCUCUCCCAUCAAAAAUAAGUUUGGAACUUUGAAGCUUGGAAAUAAAUAUCAGGUCUGCAUUUUAAGCAAGUUGGUUGUCCAUCUUACCAAAGACAGAUGGAUUUGCCUUGGAUCUUCAAGAACCAAAGGAUGAGCAUCCACAGGUUUUCAAGUGCUAGCACACAGAGAAACAGGCUCUGUAGUAUUCGGUGCUAGCCUUUCUGUCCCUAAAGCUGUAUGGUUUUUCCAUCUGCAACAUUGGUCUUUCAGCAUGUUGAAGAGCUCUCUGGAUGCCCAGGACUUCAAACAUACAAAUGCAUGAUUGACGUUCUGACCCUUUACUCAUCAAGGAAUGUUCCAUCAACCUUCUAAGCAUUCUACAUUAAUGACAUUUUAUUCUCAACAUUUUAUUUGUCUGAUACACCAGACAACUGACUCCUCACUUCCGUGUUACAGAUAUAGAAGGUGAGAGGAUAAACACAAGCAGGGGAAAGGUGUUGCAACAGGCAGAACAAAGUUGAAGGGCAGCCCAUGGUAGCUGUAGCCACUGUGCUUCCAGUUUGAGAAGAAAUUUGUCUUGGGUCAGUUUUGGUGACUGUGCUAGGGUCAGGCCAGGAUUGGUUGACACCAAACAUUCCUCAAGAGUGCUGAAGGGGUUAGCAGCCUCACUGUAGGAAGAACCCCAACUUCUUCCAAACUUCAGCAAAUACAAGAACAGCAAUUACCAUUCCCGAAACCUGUUAAUAGAUAUACAAAAAAGCUCAUAGUUGGGUAAGCUUGGAAAAUUGCACUUUGUAGCUAAGUUUCUUUGGUUGUAUGACUUCUCAGAGUCUUGACAUGCUGUUUGUUACAUUAAUUCUCCUAAAAGGAGAAGAGCAUGCCAAGAAACUCAACCUCUUUCCUGUCCCUGCAUACACACUCACACAUACACACACACACACCACUUUAUUUUGCUUAGCAUAUCCAUGAUAGCUAAUCUUGAGUGUCCAUUUGAUUGGACUUAGAGAUUCAUAGGAGAUUGGUAAAGGACACCUCUGUGAAUGUCUGUGAAGAUACUAAGACUCACGGCAAAUGUGGGUGACACUACUCCAUAGGCAAGGUGUAUAAGGAAUGGAAUGGAUAUAGGAGGAUAAAGAAUAGAAUAACGGAGAAGCCAGUUGGUUGCCGGCAUCCACUCUCACUGCUUCCUGGACUCUCCUGUGUUAUGCUCUGCUCCACCACACCUUUCCCACAGCACCAGACCCAAAAGCUCAGAAAGAACAGGAAAUAGAGUUGUUGCUGAUUUUGACCAUGAGCAAUAAGGAUCUGGAAUCAUGGAAGAAGGGUCAUUUUGAAAGUCUAUUCUACUCGGGAAGAAUGAAGACCAAGUCACUCCUCCUUUUCCUGGAGGUGGUACACAGGUAUGAAGAAAGCAACUUUCUUAGGGUCUGAACCCCAGUCCAGGAGGAGCUCCUCUGGCGACAUCACAUUGGUGAACUCAGAAUUGUACUGCAAGAACAUCUGAAGAUGAUUCAGCAUCAGCAUGAGUCUCAAGAACAUCAUCAUGGAAUGUUUUCUUUAAGCUGACCAGUUUGCUGGAAUAAUCUACUUAAAGUAAGCCAGAAGAUCCUUCUGUUGUUUGCAGUUAAAGGCUCUGACUUACAGAAAACCUGAGUGGGCCGCAAGCUGAAGGAUGAUGGUGUUAAGGGAAGAACAUGCAACAGAAUGAAGAGGAAUAGCAUGAUCCUUCAAACAUACCUGUUAAUGGAAAUUCUUUGAAUAAAUGAACUUGAAAU